UACGGAGGGUGCGAGCGUUGUCCGGAAUCAUUGGGCGUAAAGGGCGCGUAGGUGGCCCGGUCAGUUCGUGGUGAAAGCGCGGGGCUCAACCCUGCGUCGGCCAUGAAUACUGCCGCGGCUGGAGCACUGUAGAGGCAGGCGGAAUUCCGGGUGUAGCGGUGUAAUGCGUAGAGAUCCGGAAGAACACCGGUGGCGAAGGCGGCCUGCUGGGCAGUUGCUGACACUGAGGCGCGACAGCGUGGGGAGCAAACAGG
rnacentral:rRNA from 1 species